rnacentral:tRNA from 1 species
GCCGCGAUAGCUCAGUUGGUAGAGCAGAGGACUGAAAAUCCUCGUGUCGCUGGUUCGAUUCCGGCUCGCGGCA